CUGACUGAAAAAAAAAAUAUGUAGAAUAGGAACAGAAAAGUGGGAAGGAAAAAGAAAGUUUUCACUCCCCCAUUCCACCAUUUCAUGGUCAAGACACAUUUCCCCAUGGUGAUCAUGAGAUUUAAGGGAAGUGAAAGUAGCUUCUUAUUGUAAAGAGACUGAGAAUUCCUAUUCUGGAUUCUCAAAACAACCAUGAAAGAUACGCUGGACAGAAUUUACUCUCCCAUUUGUCAGCUAAAGGCACCGAGUCUCUGAAAAGUUAAGAGACUUGUCCGUGGUAUCUUAGCUGAUGUGGUUUGAGAAUAAGUGCCACUAAGAGGAUAUUUAUUAGGGAAAAGAACCCGCACGUCUUAGAAUAGGGUCAUUUCUGGUCACUGGGAAAUGAUUCCAUUCGAGUCCAGGUUGCCAGGGAAGAAUGAACAUGUAGCCCAUGUGAGGACGGGACAGGCUCACAUGAGAAAAUAGGGGCCUUGUGAUGCUUCCCGGAGAUUCUAUCUGGCCUGAACUGGUAAGAAGUUGGUCUGGGUUGAAGGCACUAGACAGAUCAUCAAAUUAAACUCUAUCACGUGUCAACUCAUCAUGGUCCUCAUGGCCUCCUAGUCUGGAAACACCUCUGGCUGCAGGGAUGACCUCAGUGGAGACUCACAAGAUGGACUGAGGCACCUUCUUCAAGGUGCUCCCAGCCAGUACCCAGAGGGGUCUUGGCAGAGGCCAAUGGGCUUCCUGCAGCUGGUGCCGGCAUCACCCUCCUUUCCUGAGGGCAAGUCUGUGUAGAACUUCAUUACUAGACAGAAACAUUUGCCUUGGCGCCUUCACUCCACUGGACCGCCAUCCCCUCUGAGAUUUCUUAAGAGGAAACGUGGGCCCACUAGACAUUGCUCCACUGAGCUCUCUCUAAUCUUGCACUGGGUCAGGAGCUUUGCACAAGGAAGGGAAAUUAAGACUGUGUGUACACACUGAUCCUAACUGUGAAGGAAGCAGUCAUCUAGGACCAUCCUGCUGGACCUAAUAGUGCAAAACAGUGGGUGAGGGGAAAACCAGGCCGUCUGGAGAAUGUCUUGAAUGAUGGGAUCCCUGGUGAUGGGAUGGACCAGCAAGCUCCAGAAUAACAACAGGUACUAUCUUGGAAGCCACUUGAUUUCGAAACAAAGGCAGGUGUGGGCUCACUAAUUCUGAGACAUUUACAGACAUUUUUGCAUGUCUGAUCCCCCAAGAUUGAGGCUGUCGAAACAUAGCACUGUCAACAGGUGGAACUGAGUCUCAGUGAUUCACAAGUCAGAGUGGCCGUGGCCUGCUCUAGUCCAGUGCAUAAGACUUGCAGUGUUGCUUGAGAGACAUGUCCCAAGGCCUCCUUAGAACCACACAGUAUAAUACACCAGUGGAAUUGCACUUCCAGCUUGAAAACUGGUACUAAUAGGUCACCAGGAAAUGGCACGAUCUUCAAGAAAAGAAAAAUUUUCCUGAUGAAUAUUUCCUCUCUCCCCAACAUCUUUGAGGUGAAAGGAUUGAGAACUAACUAGAUCUUUUAACUCAGAGCAACAUACAUCAUGGAAGGUGUUAAGAACAGAGGAUAUCGUUAAAAUUGCUGUUUGGGGUUUGCUGUCAUCACUCUCUGCUCCCACCAGGCAUUAAGCCCCUUGUCUUAGUUCUUUUCCAUGAGGAGGCCGUAUGGCCUCCGUCCCUGCGGUGGAGCCAUGAGAGCAAUAAGGGCCGAAGCCUCCUCGACAUCUCUGAGGACUACAGCUCAGGUGUCCCUUCUGAGAUGUUUGUGAGCAGGGUCUAGAGCAGAGAGAGACAGAAUGGAUGGAAACUCCUCUCUUCCCUCAAAGAUGACAAGAGGCAAGAGAUCCGACUAAAGAGAAGAAGGUCCUACAGCAAGUUGCUGACCCAGCUUAUAGCACAGCUGCCCUCUUCCACAGAAUGAGAAGAAGCAACCUUUUGUGCCUCUGUGUACCAUCACCCUCAACGCUCGAAAACAAGACCUUCCUGUCUUGGAAAAGUCUGGCAACUGUCCCAUAGAGGCUGCUGUGGAAGAGAGCCAUUCCACAUGCCAGGAUGGUGUGAGGGAUGAAACCCUGCCUGGGAAACAAGCGCAACAUGGGGAGUAGGCUACAGUCCUGUCUCAGCCACGUGGCCUUGGGCAUGUCCUUUAGCCUUCUGGGGCCUCUCUUUCUCUGUCUACCAAACAAGGGGGCUCUAAAGACUUUCCCUCUUCAAUGAUCUUGCCUUUACCUGGGGUAAAUGCUGCGGCCAAAGGAGAGGGGGCAGGGUCCUUGUUCUUAUGGGUCUCCCACCAGGCCCAAGGUUUCCCCCAGCCCUGCUACCCUGAAGGGCUACUCCUGGCCGCUUCAAGAAUCUUCUCUUCCCUCUUAAGGAUUUAUCAGGCUCAGAAAUCAGCAGAUUUGGGGGACCAAUAUGAAAAAAACUCUAUGAGGAAACUCUUUAAUAAGCCCUCCACCUUUACACACACGCGCGCGCGCGCACACACACACACACACACACACACACACAAACACACAUACUUGAUCCCUGAAGUGUAAACAUCUUCCCUUCUGUGUAUCAGACCUAUCUUCCCCUUUCUCAUCGCCAGUAUGUUGGGAGAAAACUCAUUCCCACCAGUGGAAAAGCGCCACUUCCUCUUAGAGAACUUAGCUAAACCUCAGUGUUUGGGGGUGACCCUGGGCAUAGGUUGAAGCAGAAGGUCCUAACGCACCUCAACCACGGCCCAUAAAUGCAGACUCUACCAGCCGAGACUGAGGCAGUAACUAGGUAACACAGUGCCGGGUCCAGAUCCUUUGCUCGUGGUCCAUCCACCUCCACAGCCUCCUCCACCCAUAGAUAUACUGUUCGUAGUGGUGGCCGCCUGCUCGAGCCUGCCUGUCUGCCUGCAUUGAGUGCCGUACAUUGUUCUGUAAUGUACCGUGUAUAUGUGUGUCCUCACUCUGUGGUUUACUACAAAUAAAAGUGACAGCGGGUAGCUGA